UAUAACGACCCACAUACCGGCGUAGCGUCUACUGCUGAAAAUAAAUAAAGUAAAAUGUAUUUUAAUUAAUUAAGUAAUUCGGCUCAUUUGUAAUCAACAUUGUUUCCUCUUUUUCGACAAAAGCAAGCAAAACAUGGUGUGGAAGGAUUCAGAUCUAUUAGCUCAGAAGAAAUUUAAAUUGAGAUUAAGAAAGAUUCCACUGUCUAUUUUCAG